rnacentral:rRNA from 1 species
AUUGAACGCUGGCGGCAGGCUUAACACAUGCAAGUCGAGCGGGGAAGGGUAGCUUGCUACCUAACCUAGCGGCGGACGGGUGAGUAAUGCUUAGGAAUCUGCCAUUUAGUGGGGGACAACAUUCCGAAAGGAAUGCUAAUACCGCAUACGUCCUACGGGAGAAAGCAGGGGAUCUUCGGACCUUGCGCUAAAUGAUGAGCCUAAGUCGGAGUAGCUAGUUGGUGGGGUAAAGGCCUACCAAGGCGACGAUCUGUAGCGGGUCUGAGAGGAUGAUCCGCCACACUGGGACUGAGAAACGGCCCAGACUCCUACGGGAGGCAGCAGUGGGGAAUAUUGGACAAUGGGCGGAAGCCUGAUCCAGCCAUGCCGCGUGUGUGAAGAAGGCCUUAUGGUUGUAAAGCACUUUAAGCGAGGAGGAGGCUACUAGUAUUAAUACUACUGGAUAGUGGACGUUACUCGCAGAAUAAGCACCGGCUAACUCUGUGCCAGCCGCCGCCGUAA